rnacentral:rRNA from 1 species
GUUAUGUCCUUCAAAUUAAAAAAAUUUGACGGCAUUUUAGUCUUAUUAGAGGAACCUGUUUUUUAAUUGAUAAUCCACGAUUAAUCCUACCUACUUUAUUUUAAUUCAUAUCCCCCUGUCACGAAUAUAUUUAAAAAUUAAUUUUCUUUCUUUAUUAUUAUAAUUUAUGUUAAGUCAAGAUGUGGUUUAUAAAUAAGUGUAUAAUGGCUUACAUUAAAUUUUAUUUGUGGAUUUUAAAUGAAAAUUAAAAUGAAAUUGGAUUUAAUAGUAAAUUUAUUUAUUUAAUUAAUAUGAAGAAAGAUCUAAAAUAUGUACAUAUUGCCCGUCAUUCUUAGUUAAAAAUAAGACAAGUCGUAACAAAGUAAAUCGUACUGGAAAGUGUAUUUAGAAAGAUUAUAUUUUAUAUAAA